rnacentral:tRNA from 1 species
CGGAACGUGGCGUAGCUGGUGUGCGCGUGCCGCUGAAGCCGGCAAGGCGGCGGUUCGAUUCCGUCCGUUCCGG